UGAUUAUUUGGCGUCUUUUGUGAUUUUGAUUUUAUUUCGAAAAUUGAACCGUUAAACUAAAACGGUCCUAUUUAACACCGCCAAUAAUAUUGCUCCGGCAAAUCCUCAAUUAGAAAAUCUAGGGAUUCACCCAACGUGAUCGCAUCUCCAGUUUCCUGGAAUUUGGAAGCGAGACGAUGAGCGACAUCACAGGUGCUUGAUACGGCGUCGUCGAGCGAAGUCAAAGGAGGAUCCGACGCCGCUCACCUCUCAGUUCGAAUCCGCCGCCGGCAAACAAGUCCCCAACUUCGACUAUAUCGCCACCGUUUCUCAAACCAAGUCACAGGCCGCAACAAUCGUCGCCAACGAUUUCCGUCAAAAAGUAUUCCGAGUACAGGUAAGACUCUUGGGCGUCUAUCAAGAAAACUAAAGUACUGUCCAUCAACAUUGCCUCCACAUGGAUCAUCUCUUUUGUCUGAGAUCGGGCGUUUACGCUCUCUGUUAUACUAUCUCUGCCACCAUGAACAGAUCAGAUCAGCUCAGUCUUAAUACAUUUUAGGUAAUAUAUAUGUACUGUUGGAGCAAUCGAAUGAAGCCAGAAUUAUGUAUACGUUUGGGGGAAUGAGGCGAGAGUUUUCACUUUCAGAUAAGUUCAGAUACGUUCUCUGAAGAUAAUUUUGUAUUGUAAGCUUUUGGCGUGUGCUCAAAUCAGAAGUGCAUAAUGUAUAUGCUUAUUUGCAGAUCCAGCACAAAUGGAGCUCUUAUAUGGUCUGUGAGACAGCAUCUUUAAGUUUCUUGAAGUUAAGUCUGUGUCUCAUGUAUCUGCCUUCAAUCUUUCUUCUGCUUAGUCUUUUGUUUUUGAUCUUAUAGUUAUAAAUUUCGAGCCUUUUGGCAUGUUCUCAAGCGUGUUGUUCUCAAGUUUGAUCCACGUAUACAAUGUCGUAUUCCUCAGAUUUUGUUUUGCCUUUCAGGACCAUCGCAAGUGGAACUCUAAUAUGGCUAAGAUAAAACCACGAUACACUUUGCCCUUAACAACACGGAAAAAACAAAAUCCAGUUCUGGCAGGUUUGGCUGGUUUGCACCCUUUGCCCUUAACAGAUAAUUAAGUUGAUGUAUCUCUCAUAUUGUCAGGUCCUUUAAGAACAGCAGUUUAUAGUCUGGAGAAAGUUGUGUAUGCCUUUAUGUGUUCUCUAAUCGCAAUGGAAGACAACCUCUAGAACUGCAUCUUCUAGUUUCCUAAGUUUUAAAUAUCUUUUUUUUCCAGAGACCAUUCUGUUGAUGUCAAGACCAUUUCUGCAUCUUAAUCCUUCUGCCAGAUAUGUUGCCCUUCCUCUUUUUAAUAUGCUUUGUCGAAUGAAAUUACAUUCUCAGUAUUUCACCUGCACAUGCAUAUUUCGUUCUCUAUGUGAACCUUUGAAAACUAAUUUGUAGAAAAGUGCUUGAUUACGAUUAUUUUAAAUUGUAAACUUUUGGUGUGUCCUCAGAUACUGUAUGCGCUAAUGGAGCUCUAAAAUGUCUCUGAUACAACAUCUGGAAUUCCAUUUUCAAGUUUCCUUUUGUUUCAUUGAGUCUUAUGUAUUUGCGUUAAACCACUACACUGUCGUUUUGCCUAUUUCAGGUCCAUCGCAAAUGGUGGGCUAUGAGAAAAGCUCUAGAGUGUCAUCUUCUUGUUUCUGAACAGAUUUAUAGUUAGAAAAUGCUCUUCUAUUAAGUGUUUCGAAGUGACGAAAAGGCUUUACGACCAUCAACACGAUGCUCGACACAGUGACUACAUCUUUAACCUUGAAGUUAAGUCUGUCUCCCAUCUAUGAACAUUAUUUUUUGCUACUUCUUCAUUCUGAUCCCGUUUCUAUCUAAAUAUUAUAUUUGACUGUUUUAAUUAUUCAGGUCUGAGAUCGGGCGUUUACUCUCUCUGCUACCAUGAAACAGGUUCAUCAUUUUUAUGCAUGUCUCAUUCUAUCUCUGCCACCAUGAAGAGAUCCAGCACAAAUGGUGUCUAAUAUGGUCUGUGAGACAACAUCUUUAAGUUUCUUGAAGUUAAGUCUGUGUCCCAUGUAUCUGUCUUCAAUCUUUCUUCUGCAUAGUCUUUUGUUUUUCAUUUUAUGGUUAUAAAUUUUAGCUUUUGGCAUGUUCUCAAGUCUAAUUUGAGAUUAUCUCAGAUUUUCUUUCGCCUAUUUCAGGUCCGUGAAUCCAUGAUGUAUCAGGUCCAUCGCAAGUGGAGCUCUAAUAUGCAUGAAGAAUCCACGAUGUAUGAGAGAUUAAGUAAUGGAUAUACAUGCUCUACUUAGAACCUUUUGGCAUGGACAAAAGUAAUGGAUAUACAUGCUCUACUCGGAUAUAAAUUCAAGUGGAGCUCUAAUGAUCAUUAACAUUUGCAUCUUUUGUCCUUAACAGGUAAUUAAGUUAUUUAUAUCAAUCAUUCAACAUGUACAUGCUCUACUUAGAACUGAUACUCCACCCCUGCAUCAAAACUGAAUGAUUCGCCUUACAAGUCUUAAUGUCUCUUGGGUUUAUCAUGCAUGUUCUGGAAAUCGUUGGAGAAACCUGGCUUGGAACCCCGCCUAAGCCUCUGCAAACACCUAGUCCUUUAAGAACAGCAGUCCAUAGUCUGGAGAAAAAGGCAUAAAACGGUUACAGAGAAAAGCACAAACUUGUCAAUGCCUUUAUAUGUUCUCUAAUCGCUUAUGUUUAGCAGUUUGGAAGACAACCUCUAGAACUGCAUCUUCUAGUUUCCUAAGUUUUAAAUCUCUUGUCUUUUCCAGAAACAUGUACCUUUCGGAGACCAUUGUGUUGAUGUCAAGACCGUUUCUGCAUCUUAGUCCUUCUGCCAGAUAUGUUGCCCUUCCUCUUUUUAAUGUGCUUUGUCGAAUGAAAUUACAUUCUCUGUAUUUCUUCUGCACAUGCAUAUUUCGUUCUCUAUGUGAACCAUUACAUUUGAAAACUAAUACAAUUAUUUCUGAUUUUUAAGGUAUGACAUCACUUUAGAGGGCUAUAUUACUCAGCUGGAGACGUCAGACAUGUGAAGCUUGAGAUUGGCCGCUCGGACUAAGCUGGUGACAGAGAGCAAGAACUGAACCCCGCACUAUAUUUCAAACCAUUGUAGAACAGGUGGAGACUCUUGAGCGUCUUUUGAGGAAACUAGUUCGUCAACAUCGCCUCCACAUGGAGCAUCUCUUUUGUGAAGGCCUAUGAUCAUUAUGUUUUCGUUGCUUCUUCAUUCUGAUCUCGUUCGAAUCUCAUUCGUGAUCCUGAUCCAAAUUUGAAGAUAAGUUCACUGCCUGUGGAGUUUCUCUUUGACGAUGACUAUAAGCUUUUGAUGUGUUCUCAAAUCAGAAGCUCAUAAUGUAUAUGCUUAUCUGCAGAUUCAGCACAAAUGGAGCUCUAAAAUGUCUGUGAGAUAACAUCUUCAAGUUUCUUGAAGUUAAGUCUGUAUCCCAUGUAUCCUCAAUCUUUCUUCUGCUUAGUCUUUUUGUUUUUGAUUUUAUAUUUAUAAAUUUCGAGCCUUUUGGCAUGUUCUCAAGUUUGAUCCACGUAUACAAUGUCGUAUCUCUCAGAUUUCGUUCUCUCUAUUUCAAGUCCAUCGCAAGUGCAGCUCUAAUAUGGCUAAGAUACAACCACGAUGUAGUCUUUCUAUCAAGUUAACAACACGGAAAAAGCAAAAUCCAGUUGUGGCAGGUCUUAAUGUCCAAGUUACUAUACACAUCAAAUAUGAUAUCACCUUACAUUCAACACAUGUCUGUUAGGUUUAUCAUGCAUUUUCUGGUAACACUCUCUUCCUUGCUUACUUAACUUCCUUAUUUACUAGACUUGUUUAACUUCUUUAUUCCUUACUCUGAACUAACCUUCUAGCUUAAUAUAUUUAGAUCUUCUCGGCUACUCGUUGAAAGUAAUACAGGUAGAGAUUCUUGAGCCUCUCUCAAGGAAACUAAAGUCCUAGUUCAACAACAUUGCCUCCACAUGGAUCAUCUCUUUUGGUCUGAUAUCAGGCAUUUACUUGCAAUGCAACCAGUCACUGAACAAGGAACCUUAUGAGUUCUCUGGCACCAUGAAACAGGACAUGUUCAGUAUUAGAAUCUCUAGUUCAGAUGGCAGGAAAUUUGACGAAUUAAGUGUUGAGUUAAUUACAAAGAAAAUAAUUAUAUAAGGUAUCACUUAACCAUUCAUGAAGGACGUUGUGAAAAUGAUUAAUGAUCAUCUUGAUUAUUCUAACAGUUUUAGUGAAAAUGAGUAUAUCAGAUCAGGUACUACGGUCUUAAGAACGUUCUGCCUAUUUCAGAUCCAUCGCAAGUGGAGCUCUAAUAUGGCUACGAAACAACCACGAUACCAUGUAAAUAAAUUAUUUAUAUUCGUUUAGGUGGAAAGGAAAAACUGAACUACAGAUACUCCAACCCUGCAUCAAAACUGAAUGUUUAUCAUGCAUUUUCUGGAAACAUUUGGAGAAACCUGGCUUGGAACCCCGCCUUAAGUCUCUGCAAACCACUAGUCCUUUAAGAACACUAGUCCAUACUCUGGAGAAAAAUGCAUAAAACGGCUACAGAGCAAGGCACACAAACUGUAGAAAAGAUAUAGUCACGAAUGAAGCUUCCAGAUAUCAUUCAGGGAACUACAGAGUAAUCUUACCAAACUUUUAACAACAGAUUCCAUAGUCUGAUGUGGUGUAUCUCAGAGAAUGUUAGAUAGGUCUGAGAUCAGGGGUUUACUUGCAACCAGUCUCUAAACCAAGAACCUUAUGAGCUUUCUGGCACAAUGAAACAGUUCAGGUCAAGGGCGACAGGCAGUUCAAUCCAUAGUGGUUGUCGUGAUCCUGAUCCAAAUUUGAAGAUAAGUUCACUGCCUGUGGAGUUUCUCUUUGACGAUGAUUAUGUAUUGUAAGCUUUUGAUGUGUUUUCAAAUCAGAAGCUCAUAAUGUAUAUGCUUAUAUGCUUAUCUGCAGACUUAACACGUUUUAAAUAAAUAAAUACAUUAUUGGAGAAAACGAAUGAAGCCAGACAAAAGUUAAAUUGAUUUAUAUCUGCUGGAUUCCUUUAAAAUUUGUUUAUUAUAUAUGCAUUUGGGGGAAUGUGCAGUUCAGGUCAAGGGCGACAGGCAGUUCAAUCCAUAGUGGUUGUCGUGAUCCUGAUCCAAAUUUGAAGAUAAGUUCACUGCCUGUGGAGUUUCUCUUUGACGAUGAUUAUGUAUUGUAAGCUUUUGAUGUGUUUUCAAAUCAGAAGCUCAUAAUGUAUAUGCUUAUCUGCAGACUCAGCACAAAUGGAGCUCUAAAAUGUCUGUGAGAUACAUCUUCAAGUUUCUUGAAGUUAAGUCUGUAUCCCAUGUAUCUUCAAUCUUUCUUCUGGCAUGUUUCUAUCUUUUGGUUUUGAUUUUAUAGUUAUAAAUUCGAGCUUUUGGCAUGUUCUCAAGUUUGAUAUAUCCACGUAUACAAUGUCGUAUCUCUCAGAUUUCGUUUUCUCUAUUUCAAGUCCAUCGCAAGUGGAGCUCUAAUAUGGCUAAGAUACAACCACGAUAUAAUCUUUCUGUCGAGUUAACAACACUGAAAAGCAAAAUCCAGUUGUGGCAGAUUCGCACUCUUUUGUCCUAAACAGGUAAUUAGGUUUUUAUAUCAGUCAUUCAACAUAUACAUGCUCUACUUAGAACUGAUCAUGUAGCAUUUGGUUAAGUGAAAAAGAAAACCUGAACUACAGAUACCACUCUAUCAAAACUGAAUGUAAGAUUUACAGAUCUUACUGUGCAAGUUACUAUCACCCUACAUUCAAAACCUGUCUCUUAGGUUUAUCAUGCAUUUUCUGGAAACACUCUCUUCCUUAGUUACUAGACUUGUUUAACUUCUUUAUUCCUUACUCUGAACUAACCCUCUAGCUUAAUAUAUUUAGAUACUUCUCGGUUACUCGUUGAAAGUAAUACAGGUGGAGACUCUUGAGCGUCUGUCAAGGAAACUAAAGUCCUAGCUCAUCAACAUUGCCUCCACAUGGAUCAUCUCUUUUGUGAAGGCCUAUGUUCAUUAUUUCAUUACUUCUUCAUUCUAAUCUCGUUUGUAUCUAAAUAUUUUAUUUAACUGUUUUAAUUAUUCAGGGUCUGAGAUCAGGCGUUUACUCUCUCUGCUACCAUGAAACAGGUUAACCAUUUUAUGCAUGUCUCAUACUCUCUCUGCCACCAUGAACAGAUCAGAUCAGCUCAGUCUUAAUACAUUUUUGAUAAUAUAUGUAUUGUUGGAGCAAUCGAAUGACGCCAGAAAAUGUUAAAUUGAUGUUAUAUGUUUGGAAGGAUGUGCAUUUCAGGUCAAAGGCGAGACUCGGUUCACUUUACUAAAAGUUUAGAUAAGUUCCCUGUCUGUUGAAUUGCUCUUUAACGAUGAUUACUUAUUGUAAGCUUUUGGCGUGUUCUGAAAUAAAAAGCUCAUAAUGUAUAUAUGCUUAUUUGCAGAUUCAGCACAAAUAGAGCUCUAAUGGGCUGUGAGAUAACCUCUGGAAUUCUAUCUUCAAGUUUAUUGAAGUUAAGUCUGUGUACCAUGUGUCUGUCUUCAAUCUUUUCUUAUGCUUAGUCUUUUGUUCUUGAUUUUAUAGUUGUAGAUUUCGAGCUUUUGGUGCUUUUCCUAUUUCAGGUCAGCGCAAAUGGAGCUCUAGUGUGGCUAAGAUACAACCACUAUUCCGCCAGCCUCGACUUAGUCUGUAUUUAACCCCAUCCUCCGGUUCUGAAAAACUGGACCACAUCUUUAACCUUUCUCAGUUGAAGGAAGCUGGGAGCAAAACGAAACAUAAGCAGCAAUGCAGGUCACUCGCCAGUGGAAUUAUACAAGGCAUGAGAAACAACCUCAUCUUACAGUUCUGUGAAAAAAGUAUAAAAAAAGAUAGAUACACUCAGAAAGUAGUACAGGUGGAGAGCGUCUAUAAAGUAGUACACUCAGAAAGUAGUAAAGAUGGAGAGCCUCCAGAUGGAUCAUCUCUUUUGUGAGGCCUAUGAUCAUUCUGUUUCUUUACUUCUUCAUUCUGAUCUCUUUUGUAUUUGACUGUUUUAAUUAUUCAGGGUCUGAGAUCAGGCGUUUACUUGCACCCAGUCUCUGAACCAAGAACCUUAUGAGUUCUCUGGCUACAUGAAACAUGUUAAGAUUUUUAUGAACUAGAAGUCAGAAAGUUCAUGUUUACUUGCUUAGCUUUUGCAAAACAAGUUCAUUAUAUGAAUCUCCAACGAAACUAGGUCGGAUGGCAGAAAAUUUUUAAGUUCUUAUGUUUAAUUAAUUGACAUAGUCACUCUUUGUCCACAAACAAGGAAUAACUUUGACCGAGAAAACAACAUACUGCAUUGUGUACACAAUUUGUCUAUUUCAGGUACACUGCUAAUGGAGAUCUAAAGUGUUUGGAAGAAAUCUCUGGAAUUCCAUCUUCAGGUCCAUUGCAAAUGGAGCUCUUUAAUGGCUAAGAAAAAACCAUUACAGUGUCAUCUUCUUGUUUCUGAAUCAAAUCCUUCUACCAGAAAAUUCUUUUCUUGCAAGUAUAUAGAAGGGGCUGAAUGCUCUUCCUGUAGUGUCAAGGACUCGACGCAGUCUGCAUUUCUGAAGAAGGGAACGUUGCUCAGCAGAAGGAUGCCUGGCAGAAAAACAAAAGAGAAUCAGGUCCAUCACAAAUGGCUAAGAUUCUUGUUCAUGAAGUUUAAUAUUCUGUCAGUAGUAGAAAAUAAGCUUUUGCUACGUUUUCAAAUCAGAAACAUGUAUAUAGAAUCGUACCUUUCAGAGAGACAGCCUUUGGAGUGUCGGCUUCUAGUUUCUGAAGUUCAAUCUUUCUGCCAGAUAUGUUGUCUUCUCUCUUUUUAAUAUGCUUGGUAGAAUGAAAUUUCGUUCUCUAUGUGAAAUAAUCAUAAUAGUUUAUUUCUGACGUUUUAGGUAUGACAUCACUUUGGAAGGUUAUAUUUGGAUAUGAGAAAGUAUUAGCUCGAGACGCCAAACGUAAGAAGCUUGAGGUAACAACUUGACAAAAGGAAGAUUCACCUGUGGCAGCAGUGACCAAUACUGAGCAAUGACAUUUGGCUGAUUUGCACCUCCUUUCUUUACACUCAUCUCAUCAAUCUCGCCACCGCUUCUCAAGCCAAGUUUCAGGCCGCAGCAAUCGUCGGCAACGAUUUCCGUCAAAAGGGUUCCGAGUACAGGUGGAGACUCUUGAGCGUCUAUCAAGAAAACUAAAGUACUGUUCAUCAACAUUGCCUCCACAUGGAUCAUCUCUUUUGUGAAGGCCUAUGAACAUUCUUUUUCGCUACUUCUUCAUUCUGAUCCUGUUUCUAUCUAAAUAUUAUAUUUGACUGUUUUAAUUAUUCAGGUCUGAGAUCAGGCGUUUACUCUCUCUGCUACCAUGAAACAGGUUCAUCAUUUUAUGCAUGUCUCAUACUAUCUCUGACACCAUGAACAGGCCGUCUUUUUGUUUUUAAUAACAGCUCAGCUCAUUCUUAAUACGUUCUAGAUAAUAUUAUGUAUUGUGGGAGCAAUCGAAUAAAGCCAGAUAAAAGUUAAAUUGAUGUAUAUGUUUGGCGGAAUGAGGCGAGAGUCAGUUGAAAGAAGCCUCAGAGGAAAACAAAACAGAUUCAGGUCCAUCACAAAUGGCUAAGAUUCUCGUUCAUGAAGUUCAACAUUCUGUCAGCUAUGUUUCUUCCCUACUUUUAUUAUGCUUAGUCAUUUGAUUUUGCGCUUGUAGUUUUAAGUUGCAUUCUCCUUCUUUCACCUGCAGUAGUAAAAUUAAGAUUUUGUUAUGUACUGAAAUCAGAAACAUGUAUAUAAUGUCCUACCUUUCAGAGACCGUUCUGUUGAUGUCAAGUCCACCGCAAAGGGAGUCCUAAAAGUUUAUGAUACUCAGCUGGAGACGUCAGACAUAUGAAGCUUGAGAUAGGCCACUCGGACUAAGCUGGUGACAGAGAGCGAGAACUGAACCCCGCACUAUAUUUCAAACCAUUGAGUAUAACAGGUGGAGACUCUUGAGCGUCUUUUGAGGAAACUAGUUCGUCAACAUCGCCUCCACAAGUAGCAUCUCUUUUGUAAAGGCCUAUGAUCAUUAUGUUUUUGUUGCUUCUUCAUUCUGAUCUCGUCCGAAUCUAAACAUUGUAUUUGACUGUUUUAAUGAUUCAUAGUAGCUGUCGCGAUCCUGAUCCAAAUUUGAAGAUAAGUUCACUGCCUGUGGUGUUUCUCUUUGAUGAUGAUUAUAAGCGUUUGAUUUGUUCUCAAAUCAGAAGCUCAUAAUGUAUAUGCUUAUCUGCAGAUUCGGCACAAAUGGAGCUCUAAAAUGUCUGUGAGAUAACAUCUUCAAGUUUCUUGAAGUUAAGUCUGUAUCCCAUGUAUCUUCAAUAUUUCUUCAGCUUAGUCUUUUUGUUUUUUUUAUUUUAUAGUUAUAAAUUCGGAGCCUUUUGGCAUGUUCUCAAGUUUGAUCCACGUAUACAAUGUCGUAUCUCUCAGAUUUCGUUCUCUCUAUUUCAAGUCCAUCGCAAGUGGAGCACUAAUAUGGCUAAGAUACAACCACGAUAUAAUCUUUCUGUCAAGUUAACAACACGGAAAAAGCAAAAUCCAGUUGUGGCAGGUUCGCACUCUUUUGUACUAAAUAGGUCUUAGUGUCCAAGUUAAUAUACCAAUCAAAUAUGAUAUCACCUUACAUUCAAAACAUGUCUCUUAGGUUUAUCAUGCAUUUCCGGUAACACUCUCUUCCUUGCUUACUUAACUUCCUUAUUUACUAGACUUGUUUAACUUCUUUAUUCCUUACUCUGAAGUAACCUUCUAGCUUAAUAUAUUUAGAUCUUCUCGGCUACUCGUUGAAAGUAAUACAGGUAGAGAUUCUUGAGCCUCUGGCAAGGAAACUAAAGUCCUAGUUCAACAACAUUGCCUCCACAUGGAUCAUCUCUUUUGGUCUGAGAUCAGGCAUUUACUUGCAAUGCAACCAGUCACUGAACAAGGAACCUUAUGAGUUCUCCUGGCACCAUGAAACAGGACAUGUUCAGUAUUAGAAUCUCUAGUUCAGAUGGUAGGAAAUUUGAUGAAUUACGUGUUGAGUUAAUUACAAAGAAAAUAAUUAUAUAAGUUUUAGUGAAAAUGAGUAUAUCAGAUCAGGUCAAGGCCGACAGUCAGUUCACGUCACAGUAGUUGUCGUGAUUGCGUUAGCCCUGCAUGUGGAGUUGAUCUUUGACAAUGAUUUUUUAUUGUCCAUCGCAAGUGGAGCUCUAAUAUGGCUACGAAACAACCACGAUACCGUGUCAUCUUCUUGUUUCUAAAUCAAAUCCCCUGUCGGGUUAACACCUUUCAGCUGGUUUGCUCUCUUUUGUCCUUAACAGGUCUCUUAAUGUCCAAGUUACUAUACCAAUCAAAUAUGGUAUCGCUUGACAUUCAAAACCUUUCUCUUAGGUUUAUCAUGCACUUUCUGGAAACCUUUGGAGAAACCUGGCUUGGAACCCCGCCUUAAGUCCUUUAAGAACACCAGUCCAUACUCUGGAGAAAAAUGCAUAAAACGGCUACAGAGCAAGGGACACAAAAUUAUAGAAAAGAUAUAGUCACGAAUGAAGCUUCUAGAUAUCAUUCAGGGAACUACGGAGUAAUCUUACCAAACUUUUAAAUAUGUUCAAUCAUUUUCUUUUGGUCUUUUGAUUUUGCUUGUAUAAAUUGAUAUUCUCUUUGUUUUCCUCUGCAGCAACAGAUUCCAUAGUCUGAUGUGGUGUAUCUCAGAGAAUGUUAGAUAAUUCUCACAAUCA